rnacentral:rRNA from 1 species
AUUGAACGCUGGCGGCAGGCCUAACACAUGCAAGUCGAGCGAGCGGCGGACGGGUGAGUAAUGUCUGGGGAUCUGCCCGAUAGAGGGGGAUAACUACUGGAAACGGUGGCUAAUACCGCAUACUAUCGGUUGAACCCAUAUGGGAUUAGCUAGUAGGUGGGGUAAUGGCUCCCCUAGGCGACGAUCCCUCGCUGGUCUGAGAGGAUGACCAGCCACACUGGGACUGAGACACGGUCCAGACUCCUACGGGAGGCAGCAGUGGUGAAUAUUGCACAAUGGGCGCAAGCCUGAUGCAGCCAUGCCGCGUGAGUGAAGAAGGCCUGCGGGUUGGAAAGCACUUUCAGCGAGGAGGCGUUAAUCGCAGAAGAAGCACCGGCUAACUCCGUGCCAGCAGCCGCGGUAAUAC